rnacentral:rRNA from 1 species
AGUCAAUAGAUACCCUGGUAGUCCAUGCCGUAAACGAUGAUUGCUAGGUGUGGGGGGUCUGACCCCUUCCGUGCCGGAGUUAAACACAAUAAGCAAUCCACCUGGGGAGUACGGCCGCAAGGUUGAAACUCAAAGGAAUUGACGGGGGCCCGCACAAGCAGUGGAGUAUGUGGUUUGAUUCGAAGCAACGCGAAGAACCUUACCAGGUCUUGACAUCCACCGAAUCCUGUAGAGAUACGGGAGUGCCCUUCGGGGAGCGGUGAGACAGGUGGUGCAUGGUUGUCGUCAGCUCGUGUCGUGAGAUGUUGGGUUAAGUCCCGCAACGAGCGCAACCCUUGUGAAUAGUUGCUACGAAAGAGCACUCUAUUCAGACCGCCGUUGACAAAACGGAGGAAGGUGGGGAUGACGUCAAAUCAUCAUGCCCCUUAUGACCUGGGCUACACACGUACUACAAUGGUCGUCAACAGAGGGAAGCAAGACCGCGAGGUGGAGCGAACCCCUAAAAACGAUCUCAGUUCAGAUUGCAGGCUGAAACUCG